rnacentral:rRNA from 1 species
GAUGAACGCUGGCGGCGUGCCUAAUACAUGCAAGUCGAGCGAACAGACGAGGAGCUUGUUCCCUUGAGGUUAGCGGCGGACGGGGGAGUAACAAGUGGAUAACCAACUAAUAAGACGGGGAUAAUUUCGGGAAACCGGAGCUACUACCGGAGAAUAUAUUGAACGGCUGGGUUCAGUAGUGAAAGAGGGUUUGGCGGUCACUAUGAGAUGAUUCCGGGCCGCAUUAGCUAGUUGGUAAGGUAACGGCUUACCAAGGAAACGAUGCGUAGCCGACCUGAGAGGGUGAUCGGCCACACUGGAACUGAGACACGGUCCAGACUCCUACGGGAGGCAGCAGUAGGGAAUCUUCCGCAAUGGGCGAAAGCCUGACGGAGCAACGCCGCGUGAGUGAUGAAGGUCUUCGGAUCGUAAAACUCUGUUAUUAGGGAAGAACAAAUGUGUAAGUAACUAUGCACGUCUUGACGGUACCUAAUCAGAAAGCCACGGCUAACUACGUG